rnacentral:rRNA from 1 species
UACGUAGAGUGCGAGCGUUGUCCGGAAUUAUUGGGCGUAAAGGGCUCGUAGGCGGUUUGUCGCGUCGGGAGUGAAAUCCACUGGCUUAACUGGUGGCUUGCUUUCGAUACGGGCAGACUGGAGGUAUGCAGGGGAGAACGGAAUUCCUGGUGUAGCGGUGAAAUGCGCAGAUAUCAGGAGGAACACCGGUGGCGAAGGCGGUUCUCUGGGCAUGUCCUGACGCUGAGGAGCGAAAGUGUGGGGAGCGAACAGG